CUGGCUCAGGAUGAACGCUAGCGACAGGCUUAACACAUGCAAGUCGAAGGGGCAGCAAUAAAAGUAGCAAUACUUUGGUGGCGACCGGCGCACGGGUGAGUAACGCGUAUGCAACCUACCUAUCAGGAGGGGAAUAACCCGGCGAAAGUCGGACUAAUACCGCAUAAAACAGGGGCACCGCAUGGUGAUAUUUGUUAAAGAAAUUCGCUGAUAGAUGGGCAUGCGUUCCAUUAGGUAGUUGGUGAGGUAACGGCUCACCAAGCCGACGAUGGAUAGGGGAACUGAGAGGUUGGUCCCCCACACUGGUACUGAGACACGGACCAGACUCCUACGGGAGGCAGCAGUGAGGAAUAUUGGUCAAUGGGCGAGAGCCUGAACCAGCCAAGUCGCGUGAAGGAAGAAGGAUCUAUGGUUCGUAAACUUCUUUUGCAGGGGAAUAAAGUGCAGGACGUGUCCUGUUUUGUAUGUACCCUGAGAAUAAGGAUCGGCUAACUCCGUGCCAGCCGCCGC
rnacentral:rRNA from 1 species